rnacentral:rRNA from 1 species
UACGGUAGGGUGCAAGCGUUAUCCGGAUUUAUUGGGUUUAAAGGGUCCGUAGGCGGACUAUUAAGUCAGCGGUGAAAGCCCACAGCUCAACUGUGGAACUGCCGUUGAUACUGAUAGUCUUGAGUACAAGUGAGGUUGGCGGAAUGUGUGGUGUAGCGGUGAAAAUGCUUAGAUAUCACACAGAACACCGAUUUGCGAAAGGGCAGCUGGCCAAACUUUGUAACUGACGCUGAGGGACGAAAAGUGUGGGGAGUCAAACAGG